rnacentral:rRNA from 1 species
UACGAAGGGGGCUAGCGUUGCUCGGAAUCACUGGGCGUAAAGCGCACGUAGGCGGCUUUUUAAGUCAGGGGUGAAAUCCGGCAGCUCAACUGUCGAAGUGCCCUUGAUACUGAUGGAGCUCGAGGGAGGGUAGGGUCUGUGGAACUUCCGGUGGAGCGGUGAAAUGCGUUGAUAUCGGAAGGAACGCCGGUGGCGAAAGCGACGGACUGGACCUCUUCUGACGCUGAGGCGCGAAAGCCAGGGGAGCAAACGGG